GAUGAACGCUGGCGGCGUGCCUAAUACAUGCAAGUCGAGCGAACGGACGAGAAGCUUGCUUCUCUGAUGUUAGCGGCGGACGGGUGAGUAACACGUGGAUAACCUACCUAUAAGACUGGGAUAACUUCGGGAAACCGGAGCUAAUACCGGAUAAUAUUUUGAACCGCAUGGUUCAAAAGUGAAAGACGGUCUUGCUGUCACUUAUAGAUGGAUCCGCGCUGCAUUAGCUAGUUGGUAAGGUAACGGCUUACCAAGGCAACGAUGCAUAGCCGACCUGAGAGGGUGAUCGGCCACACUGGAACUGAGACACGGUCCCGACUCCUACGGGAGGCAGCAGUAGGGACUCUUCCGCAAUGGGCGAAAGCCUGACGGAGCAACGCCGCGUGAGUGAUGAAGGUAUUCGGAUCGUAAAACUCUGUUAUUAGGGAAGAACAUAUGUGUAAGUAACUGUGCACAUCUUGACGGUACCUAAUCAGAAAGCCACGGCUAACUACGUG
rnacentral:rRNA from 1 species